GAGCCUCCAUCUCCAUUCCAGCAACUGAUUAUUUGUUACAUCCAAUCUAUUACAAUCUCAAACCCUAAAUCUCUGUCGCUUAUGACUUUGAAGAUUUCAAGCUGGCCGAUUUCAUAUAUUGAUUUCAUAUGGAUCGUGACCAUUUCUUUUGGAUCAUCGGACGACGACUCGGGCGAUUCCUGAGGCUGAAGACAACAACGGCAAGAGGCACUCCAGCGGCGCGAUUAGGGUUUCGCUGUGAACCCUAACAACAGUGGCAGCGGCGCAUUUUAUUCUUGAAGAUUUGAUUUUUUCCAAUGUAUCAAACCGUUUGUGUUCUUCUAAUCCGUCUCUUGCUCUAAUUGUUUAUUUGUUUUUUUAUUUUCUUCAGGUGCAAUCCAAGUUAAGUUUGUGAAAAUUUAGUCAUAAAAUUAAGCAUCAAUUUUGUUAUUAGAGAAGGCUUGCAUUUGGCUUUAUUUCAUGUAUGGAAACAAGCUUUGUGAUGACAAAGUUCCUUAUCUGAUUCACCAUACAUAUACUAUUUGGUAAUUUCAACCCAUUUUUAUAUGGUAUACCCAUUUGUUGAUUAUUACAAUGGCGCCACCGCAUUGCAUUGCAUUUUGGUCACCAGUGGUGCCGGUUAUAUUGGCAGUCACACCGUCUUGCAACUGCUGUUAAGCG
rnacentral:lncRNA from 1 species